ensembl:lncRNA
AGAACACAGAUACUGUUGGCUGUUUUGCUGAGACGCAGCAGGAAUUGGCCAGGAGUAUAACUAGAGAACUAACAAAAGGUUUCUCUGAACCUUAACAUCUAGAACCCAUGACCUGAAGUGCUGAGAGCUCUCCCCCUUCACCUCUGUUUUGAGUUCUGUUUUUGGAUUGCUGCUGCUGCUGCUAAGUCACUUCAGUCAUGUCCGACUCUGUGCAACCCCAUAGACGUCAGCCCACCAGGCUCCCCCAUCCUUGGGAUUCUCCAGAGUGAAGACGGUGUGCAGAGUGAAGGUACAGGCAGAAACGCUUCACAGUUCGUGUAUUCCAAGAACAGAGAUGCUCCGCCAGCUCACUCUUCAACCUUGUUCCCAGCAGCUGCCAGUGCUGCAUAUAGAGAGGACACAGGGCUCCAGGGAGGUGGAGGGGCUUGCCUGAGAUCAUAAUGCAAGUUAUUAAUGGAGACCCAGGUUCGAUCCUUCGGUCGGGAAGAUAUCCUGGAGAAGGAAAUGGCAACCCAUUCCAGUAUUCUUGCUUGGAGAAUCUCAUGGACAGAGGUACCUGGCAGACUACAGACCACAGGAUUGCAAGAGUCGGACACGACUUAGUGAUUAAACCACCACCUUCACAAGUUGUGUAUAUUCUUAUUUAUUAUUGGCUUGACAUAUUUCAAGCAGUUCUAUGAU